GUGGGGAAUUUUGGACAAUGGGCGCAAGCCUGAUCCAGCAAUGCCGCGUGCAGGAAGAAGGCCUUCGGGUUGUAAACUGCUUUUGUACGGAACGAAAAGGCUCUGGCUAAUACCUGGAGCUCAUGACGGUACCGUAAGAAUAAGCACCGGCUAACUACGUGCCAGCAGCCGCGGUAAUACGUAGGGUGCGAGCGUUAAUCGGAAUUACUGGGCGUAAAGCGUGCGCAGGCGGUGCUGUAAGACAGGCGUGAAAUCCCCGGGCUUAACCUGGGAAUUGCGCUUGUGACUGCAGUGCUGGAGUGCGGCAGAGGGGGAUGGAAUUCCGCGUGUAACAGUGAAAUGCGUAGAUAUGCGGAGGAACACCGAUGGCGAAGGCAAUCCCCUGGGCCUGCACUGACGCUCAUGCACGAAAGCGUGGGGAGCAAACAGGAUUAGAUACCCGAGUAGUCC
rnacentral:rRNA from 1 species